rnacentral:rRNA from 1 species
GCAUGCCGAGGCUGAGUCGUCUCAUACCUUUCCCCAUGGCGGCAUCCAAUCCCGAUUCGAGUUCCUACCAUGGGAAGCUAGGGUUAGGAGACGAUGCUUCCCUCCAGCAGGACCCCCUCGUUCCGCUCUGGGCCAGCAAGCGGCUAAAUCCUCUCUGGUGAUUGUCCCGCCAGCAGUGACAGUCCUCCUCCGAGCGUUUCGUGGUGGGCCUGCGGUCAGCGAGCGGCGCAGCUGAUUCCUCUCCGGCGAUUGUCUGGCCAACCGUGCCAGUACUCGUCCAAGCGUUCCCCAACGGCGUCGUGCUGGAUCUAGGUCCCCAGGAUCAGCACAUCCUUUGAAGGAAGUAGGAGAGGGGACGAAGUAGUGGCAUAUUGUCAGCAGAUGCAGAUGUUGGUCUUGAAGAAAUUGGGAAGGUAUAAUUUAUUUUCUCCUAAUUAAGUGUUAUAUACGUCUAUGACUAUAUGUGCCUAGAGUGUGUGCUCUGUGCGACCGUGGUCUAAUGAAAAGUGAUAUAUGUCUAUGAACUGCUACUACUACUGCCUAGAUGGAAUUUAGAUGAUGAUAAGUAUGUAAAUUUAGAAAGCUCGAGUGGUGUCUAGGGCUUGUACAUGCUUCUGCAAAUUUGCUAGAUUAAUUUAUGUGUGUGUGCUACUGCUAGUAGUGUGAUUGACAGCGAGAAAAAGAAUGUGUGCCAUUGGUACUAAUCCUAUUGACAGUGAACUGGUACUGCUAGUGCCAUCUUUACAUCAUUUUUUGGCUGAAAACAUUCAUGUGUAGUCAUAGAUGAUUAACUUACAACCCAAUCGUUUCAUUUAAGUCAACAUGUGGAAUAGAUGAUUGAACUUAUAUAAUCAGCAAAUUAUAUAUGAAACUCAUUUAAAUACAUUGUUUAAACUAUUGAAAACAGUAAUUUCAGUUAAAAUUCUGUGUAGAGUAGCCAUCUGCAGCAAAGACACAAUCGAGUCAUUUAGAGUUACAAAACCUCCAACCGUGAAACUUGCAGCCCAAACAAACACACCCUUAAUGCAGCAACAAGGAACUCUUAUGGCGAUAGAAUUGUGUGUAGUACGAUGGGAAAUAAGAAAGAUGUUGGAACUGGUUGAACAUAGAAAAUUGCAGAAAUGAUGUUUGCCAUCAGGUUUAGUUUCUAUUGCUAUUGAUUAGUGAAGUGAGCUGAGAUUAGCUAUUGCAAUUAAUUUCUAUUGCCUGGACGAUUCAACUCUUCUUUCAGGUUGCUUGGUGGCAAGAUUUCUGCAAGUUAUUAGGACUAAUAGUACUGCAUUGGUUUUUUCUUCUCCUAGUGUACUAGAACUAGGUGUUGAAUGACUAAUGUACAAAUCCGCAAAUUUGCCAUCACUGUUAAUUACUGUUUUCGGACCAUUAUCUUAACUGAUGUACUUAUGUAUUGAAGUGAUGCAUUAUUGAAUUUGACUGACUCAUAUUGGUGCUACAUAAUCAGCACUAUGUGCAACUGAACUGUUUGGUUUACUUUAAUUUGUUCUAGGCAAUGGUUCCGGUUGUUAGAAUAUGCUCUGUAAAGUGCAAGUGUUUGGUCGUGGUUUCGGCUGUUGUAUUGAGUCGUUUGCUUUACUUAAAUUUACUAGGAACUGGGCAGAGUUCUCUUUUUCAGGGGCAGAGUUCUGUUGGACAGAGUUCUAAUUCUACUCCUAGCAUCUUUGUAUUGAACUGUUUGCUUUACUUGCCUUUGGC